AGGACGAACGCUGGCGGCGUGCUUAACACAUGCAAGUCGAGCGGAAAGGCCCUUCGGGGUACUCGAGCGGCGAACGGGUGAGUAACACGUGAGUAACCUGCCCUAGGCUUUGGGAUAACCCUCGGAAACGGGGGCUAAUACUGGAUAUUCCCGCGGGAUCGCAUGGUUUUGUGGGGAAAGGUUUUCCGGCUUGGGAUGGGCUCGCGGCCUAUCAGCUUGUUGGUGGGGUGAUGGCCUACCAAGGCGACGACGGGUAGCCGGCCUGAGAGGGUGACCGGCCACACUGGGACUGAGACACGGCCCAGACUCCUACGGGAGGCAGCAGUGGGGAAUAUUGGACAAUGGGCGAAAGCCUGAUCCAGCAACGCCGCGUGAGGGAUGACGGCCUUCGGGUUGUAAACCGUCUUUCAGCAGGGACGAAGCGAAAGUGACGGUACCUGCAGAAGAAGCACCGGCCAACUACGUGCCAGCAGCCGC
rnacentral:rRNA from 1 species